ensembl:lncRNA
CGCCGUCACAGCACGGUCGCGGCGCGGUCCCCGCAUCGGGACGCCGAGACGAUCCCGCAACAAGGCGAGGAGGAGAAGCGCACAGCGAGUGCUUAAAGUGUCAUUUAAGUCCGUAAUUCAGAUCUAGAGUCCACGCGUCUACCUGUCAAAGCCCCCGGCCCGCCCUAACGAGGCCCAUCUGUGCUAAUGACACAACGACCCCCAGGUGCCGGGCACAGCUGCGCCUCGUCCGGAGCCGAGCGCAACGCUCGCCCCAAAGCCUCUUAAGCUCCUCCGGGGGCUACCGGGAGCCACGAGGGCGCUCUGCGCAGUCCCUCGCCGGGAGGCGAUGGAGGAGGUUGUGGGGUGCUGUUCCUCUGCCCGAGGCGCUGCUGGGGCUGCGAGGGGCUGCUUGGAAGCCGAAACCUCGGGGUUCUGUUUAACGUUGUCUGUUGCGUUUGGUUCUUUUAUUCAGGCUGCAGGAGGGCGUCGGGAUCCGCCCCGGCCGGUGAGCCGUACCGAUAGCGAUGGAGGUGGUGAGCGCUCGGCGGUCCUUGGGGGGCUUUCCGCCUGGGGUGAGAGGCUGCCGGGCCCUCACCGUGCUCUUUUUGGGGCCGGCGUAGAGCUACCGCUGGGCUCCCUCGACUUUUCAGAGCCGGGAUUGCAGCGCUGCCUGCUUUCUGUUGUAUUUGGUUUGCUUUUUUCCCUCCACAACCCUCCUUUUUUUUUUUAUAGUGAGUGCUUCAGUUUGUUCUGCUCUCAUCAGCGGGAGUGAGCGAGACGGGGCUGUGCUUCUGCGGCCUCGGCACUGCUGGGAGAGAGGAGCAACACGAAGGGCUGCUAAAACCAGGUGUUCUCCUACUGCAGCUGCAGCAGAGCCUCUCUUCAUCCCAAACCAGCGAGGUUGUGGAAGUGUUGAGAGUUUAGGAGUCAGUAGAAGGACAAUCCAGCAGGGUGAUGGAGUUGCUUUUCAGGUGAGAGAGCUGGAAAGGAUUGAGCCCUGCCUAGGGAUGAAUGAACAACUAGAGGAGUGCUUGUGAGGUAGGUAAAGGUGAGUAACAUCCUUGGGGGUGUUGGUUACAGACCAGGAUGAGGAAGAGGAUAAGACCUUCUGCGCACAGCUGUGGGCAUUAGUUGUUCUCAGGGUAGGCUGAACCACCCUAUCAGCUGUUGGGGAAGCAAGGCUGCCAGGCUUGGUUAUUCCAGGAGGUUCUUGCAAUGUGUCAAAGGUAAAACUUAGGACACAAGAGACGGAGGAGCUUGCUCUCCCUACAGAGGGAGGCUCAGCUGGAGGUGGCCGCUCUGAGAUGGUGCAGUUCAGGAUCUGGUGUGGAAGAAGCAAAGCAGUAAGUAGGGUUGAGAUAUUGGAUUUUCAGGAAGCCUGGUUUGUCCUCUGAAAGGAUCUACUUGGAGGUAUCCGUGCAGUUGGAACGUCAGAAGAGGUCCUGUGGGCGGUUGUUGUUUCAAGCAAUUUAUUUGCGCUCAGGAGGGGCGCUCUUAGGAGAGUAAGAAAAGGAGCAGAAAUAGCGGGGGAGCUUCAUGGGAAAAUGGGGCUUGCAGAAGAACUUGAAAGCGAGAAGGAAGAGAUUAGGAUGAGGAAGGCUAAAGCCUACUUAGUUUCUUCUUUGGGGGGGGGGAAGAUCAAGGAUAACAGAAGUUAGCAAGUUUGUGAACAGCAAGGAGGAGAGUAGGGUGGGUCCUCUGCCUCAUCAGGCAGGGGCUGGAAUGCCUUCUUUGUUGCAGCUGAGGAUGCUCCUUGACGAUCCUGGAUCCCAGAGGAAAGCGUCUUUGAGGAAGGAUGCCUUCCUGAUUGCAGAGGAGGCGGCAAAGAUCACGUGGACAAAAUUGGUGCCCCCCAGGAAAGUUGUGUGAGGACGGGAGGAUAGCCAGCAUCACGGCAGCCUUCAAGAAGGGUGUCAUUUCCAAGGAACUUGAAGAGUUUGCUAUGAAGCAGUCAAGGUGGCAUCACUGAGGGGAAAUUGUGCUGCUCCAACCUGGGAGCGUCUGCUCAGAGAAGAGCAGGGGAUGCUGCAAGCCUGACUUCAGUGUUUCUGUUGGUGUUUUUGUAAUGAAGCUUAACAAGUGUGAGAUGGUGACCUGGAUGAAGGGAGAGUCUCUAAUGUCGGUGAGUGAGCGGAUGAUGCGAAGCUGGGAGGAGCAGUGACAUUCAGCGGGACCCCAUAAACUGUGGAGAGCAGGUCAAGCAGAGGGGAAAGCUGUACAUGGGGUCUAAUGGAGGGCAAUGAAGAUGAUGAGGGGCCUGGAGCAUCUCUCUGUGGAGGACUGGAUGAGGACCCUACAGCUGUUUGAUGAAGAGAAGGAUGGAGGCUGCAAAGGAGAUUUUUUUUUGGCAAGGAUCUGCCUGAACAUGAGUGGUGGAAUGGAGGAGGUAAGAGCCCUCAGCUGUGUUGUGUAGGUGUGGAGGCUCCUUUGUCAGAGGUUUGGUGCUGGAACAAGGAUUGCUGUGUGACUGCCUCUCCAGAGGGAGGUGUUUUUCCAGUGGAGUGGAAUUGAUGGAGCAUUCAGAAGUGGUGCCUUUUGGUGGAGCUUCACUUGGGCUGUAGCAGAGGAAUUGGAGCUGACUUAACAGUGUGUGCCCCAGAAAUACUGGGAAUGAAGUUUGCUUCCAUAGUGUGAGAAGCAGGUUGUCUUCUUCAGCACUAUGGUGUGUCAGACUUGCUUGACUCACCAAAUGAAACCAGUACUUUUCCAGUGUUUGCAUUGUUGCAGCGGAAUUCCUGGAGAGAAGCGUUGCUUGAGUUUGGAAGGGCUUCUCGAGUGUGAAGGUAGGAGUGCUGUCCUGAGAGCUGAGCGGUGUUGACUCUUGCAAAAAGAUGGUUUCCUUUUUUCAGAUAGGUAAGUCAAACCACUGUCAGCAAACCAAUGGAGAAACCAGAGACUAGUGCAUCUCUACAGUACCCUUUGGGUUAAGUUAGGAAUCAGAAAGCAGCCUGGGUUGGAAGGAACCUGUGUCUCUAAGCUCUGCACUGCUCUGCCUCAACUUCAGUUGCAUCUCUGAGUCUCACAAAGCCUGGGGAUGACCAGUGUCAAUGACAGUUUGCAUUCUGGUUCUACUCAAUUUUCACAUUUUCAGAUUCAAAGUAACAAUUUCUACACUAGGAGGAACUUAGCUGUAACACCUGGGCACAAAUUACACCUUUGGAGACAAACUUCAAGAUUUGCAAACUUCAAGAUUUGUUUCCUGUAGGUACAGGCCUGAAUCAAACACCCCUUCUGUGUCACGUUGCAUCCUGUUUCCCAAGGUUUCCAGCUUCUUUCUCCAACUGUUGCAAAGAUGGCACUGUUGUUUUUUCCUGCGUAGCCUGAAGUCCCCAGUGGCUACAGUCCACUUCUCUCCACCGCUGACGUUUAAGGUGCUGACAGCCCCCAAGCGCCCGAGGGAUCCUGCUGUCUUCGGCAAGGUCUCAUUUCAUUUAAUUUCAUAUUUAAAGCUUCCGUGACCUUUUUGAACAUGUAAAUGAUAAAAAUACUUUCACACACGGAUGUAUCGAGCGCCACGUCCACCUAGGCUUGUUAAUAAACCUCGUUGCUCUGUUUCUGCUGGCCCGUGGCUAUAUUAGCUGUCUGCUCGCCUUAUUUGUGAGAUAUAAAUAGCCAGGGACUGCACACUCGCUGUCUAGUUACAUCGAGAUAACAGUGAUUUUAAUACUCUUAAACAAGCCUGUCUCCUGACGUGGGUCUGUCCAGAACGCUCACUCUUACCUAUCUUCCUUCUUCGUGUUUGAGUGGGAGAUUCGUAAGCAAAAUCUCUCAGCCACCAAACAUGCCAAUAGAAAACAAAAGGGCCACUGAAGGGCGUUUUUGCACUGUUCACACGCUGCUGUUGGAAAGUAAUUCUCCAUACCAUUUCUUAUGUUUGGGCUCAAUAACAUUUCAUACCCGUACCGCACAGUGGUUCUGACCCAGUCACGCUGCAUUGGCCUGAAUCAGAAAGUCCCAGACUCAUCUCAGGGCUAUGCUGUAUCAUUCUUACUGCAAAUUGAAGAUAGCUGGUACUCCCUUCCCAAAAGGCCUCGAGCCUCAGCACAGUAAUGCCUUACAGUGAAAGUAAAGCAGAGAGAGGCAGAGAACUACACUCAGUAAGGGAUUGAACUAACAACAGAAUUUAAACAGGAUUUAGGUGAGGAUUGGCAUCUAAAUACACAGUUGUGAGCUAAAGACCCUUGGCUCUCAGGGCACCUCCUUCUGUGACCGAAAAGGUCUCUAGGGCCGCUGUGAGGGUACAGAGGGAGAACUGCAUCCUGGCUUCCCAGCAUCUAUUUUUCUGCUGAACUAAGUGCACGUGCCCUGUAAGGCACGCCCAGAGCACGCUGGACACCCUGCCUUAGCCCCGGGUCGCGCCACUUGUUCGGGUAUCGUUUGGGUAACCGAUCUUUCAGUGCUAAAUGCCGACUACAGCAUCCUCAGAGAGAAGCUCUCUCUCUUGGAGAAGCUGAUAGCCCUAAGCACAGCAUUACAGAGCGCUGAGAGUCCCCCACAGGAACAUGCUGCCCCUGGAGGACGGCUAGUCUAGUCAGGACCUAAUGCAAACCAUGGGAGUACAGGUAUCUGUGGAAUAACAUACCAGUUUGACUGUGUAUAAAAUGAGAUACAAUGAGUAAGUUCAUCAAGGAAAUUAUAGCCUCUGGAGAAAUCCUUUACAAUAGCUGCGAUGAGUAACAUCUCACUCCAUGACUCUGUUGACUUCCAUCUUCCCCUAUAGUUACAUGGAUUACCCUGGAAGCAAUGCCUCCUCUUUAUUUCUGCAGAAACUACAGUGAAUAAAAAGAGCACAAGAACACUAUUUGAUAGUGUUUUGUGGCUGAGAACUUGCUCUGCUUUUCAACAUAGUCACCGCUGCUAGCUAUAGACUUUGUCGCAUGGCUAUAUCUAAGUAUGCACGCAUUAUUACGUACUUGUGAAAACUUUUCCACAUAGCUGUGCUGUAAUUUGCAUCCACAUCUUACACUUACAUCCGUAAGAGGACUUCUGCCGGGCACGGGUGAGCACCGUUGGACUAUACAAUGCUUGAUAGCUGGGGGCAACAGUGCAGUGGCUACAACAGAGAAGUGAGGUGCAGCAGCGGAUGCAGAAAAGAAAGAAACUCCUUACCUUUACAAGACCUGUAAAAUCCUCAAGGGGUGCAGAGAGCUCUAGAAGACAGUCUUUCUCCUCCCCCUGCUGGCCCUUAAAUGAGGUCUGGGAAGGGGUGGAUCCUGGCUCCACCCCUUCUAAUUGGCCGCAUUGCGUUCACCUGGGUUGGCCCUGGGUUGGCCCUGCCUUCCACCAGGUGCUCAAUCACUGCUUCGGACCAUGACUUGACGUCUCUUAUGCAGACAUCAAUAAAAUCUCUGACUUGAUUUUUGGCUGCGUAAGAAACUGUACGUCAGAGUCAUGGUUUUCUUCCAGUUCCUCUCUACUGAGUUCACUGCUUCUUCUUUACUUGUUAUUCAGUGCUUGCUGUCUUCCCAUCAGCAGCCGUCCACCUUCGAAGCGAUUGGUGUCAGAUGUCAUUUCUCAUGGCCGGUUUCCCUGGCUUUCACCAAUGCAAACUGCUGUACAACAUUUGCACUUUGGAGCGGUUCGAAGCAGUGAUUUCCAUUUUCAUACCCUCGUGCGCUUCGUUCAGUUAUUUCUUCUGCAGUACUUGUUGCCCUCCUUGCACUGAAAAAAAAAGUGAAGCAGAACUUCGAUUAGGUCUAUGCGAGUUAUCCUCCAGCCUGUAAAAUAGCCUUCCUGCACCAUAAUCCAUUUUCUUUGCUUCUGAUAGCUAUCUGUCUAAACAUGUCCUUGCUGUUUGUAUUAAAGUCCGUGCCCACGUGCCCAACGCUUUCUGAAAAGUGACUUCCGUUCUCAUUUUGUUUCCUUACGUAAUGGCGCCUACCAUCCAUUCCUCGAAAGCUAUGCUUUUUCUCCAUGCUACUUACUAACAUAAUCGUCCUUCCGGCCAGCUGAGGAACCUUCCCUGGCACUCUGUGGACGCACGGUUUGCCACUCAGGUUUUUCACAGGGUGCAUAAUCGUGGUGUAAUUCCUGUGUUUCGUGACUCACAGCACGCUCUAAACUGAAGUAACUCAGCAGGCUUCAAGAGAAGCACGGUUUUAUGGUCAGUCAGGUCCGACUAAACUGUUGCGUGCAUUUCAGAGCAUCCUACAGAAUAUUUGUAUUGUAUUCUAAAGAAUACAAGUAAUAUACCUAUUAGCCUGCCCAGAAACAUUCCUGGGGCAGCUGGGGAGAAAAACAGUGACGUGCCGUUUAGUGGCCUUGAAGCGGGAUGCGCGCAAAGGUCUCCUCUGGGGGGUAUCAAACGCAAGGAUAUAGUAUUGCAUUUAUUGUUCGGCUCAGAUCUCCAUUGGCCUGAGGUUCUUGACUCACGUAUGUUUGCACGAGCGGGUUUUUCACGAGCCUAUUCCUGCCUGCCCAGAUAUUUUUCCGUGGCACGUCAUAUUCUUUUGUUUUCCCCCGCUCAGAAGUGAAGUCUCUGUCAGCAGGGCUCUUCCUGUCUUUCUCGCCAGCUGCCUUCAAACAGAGAUUUUAACCGAUACUUCAGACGUUCAGGGUGGGUAUUCCCUUUCUCAUCCCUCUGGAAACUCGCCGAAGCCGCCGCUGUUUUAUUUGCCGAUACUGGAGGCCUAUUUUUAGAGCCAGAGCUCAAGGUGUGUCUAAACCAGGCCUUAAAUUUUUGGACCGAUCUUGACAGCUCGUUGUUAA